CGCACAUUGCGCUCUUUGGUAUUCCGAAGAGCAUAUCUGUUCGAGCGUCGUUAUCAACCUCAAGCUCUUGCUUGGCUAUGGAAUUUGUCUGCAGACUAUUCUCAAAGACAAUGAGCAGGUACUCUCGUGUCUAGAGCGCAGUUAAACUUUCGCUACUAGGCCUGGGGGCGUCUCGCCCAAAACCAAAACAUUUCAAGGUCGACCUCGGAUCAGAUAGGGAUACCCGCUGAACUUAA
rnacentral:misc_RNA from 1 species